rnacentral:rRNA from 1 species
CCUACGGGUGGCAGCAGUGGGGGAUAUUGGACAAUGGGGGAAACCCUGAUCCAGCGACGCCGCGUGCGUGAAGAAGUAUUUCGGUAUGUAAAGCUCUGUCAGCAGGGAAGAAAGAAAUGACGGUACCUGACCAAGAAACCUCGGCUAACUACGUGCCAGCAGCCGCGGUAAUACGUAGGGGGCAAGCGUUAUCCGGAAUUACUGGGUGUAAAGGGAGCGUAGACGGUGAUGCAAGGCUGGAGUGAAAGGCCGGGGCCCAACCCCCGGACUGCACUGGAAACUGUGUAACUUGCGUGCAGGAGAGGUAAGCGGAAUUCCUAGUGUAGCGGUGAAAUGCUUAGAUAUUAGGAGGAACACCAGUUGCGAAGGCGGCUUACUGGACUGUAACUGACGUUGAGGCUCGAAAGCGUGGGUAGCAAACAGGAUUAGAUACCCCAGUAGUC